UGAUAAGAGCACGGUCCCUUUCUGAGGAACUAGAUGAAACCAGAUGUGCACUGAGGGAGAGCCAGGAGAGGGCCACAAAAGCACAGUCCAGCAACUGUUCACUAAUAAAGGAGAUUGAACAACUGAAAUUUUUAAUCAGAGUAGCUGAAGAAAAGAAUGAAAAAUUAACCCUGGAGGGGAACCUUGCUGAGGAUCGAAUUAACAAACUGAG